AUGAACGCUGGCGGCGUGCCUAAUACAUGCAAGUCGAGCGAACAGAUAAGGAGCUUGCUCCUUUGACGUUAGCGGCGGACGGGUGAGUAACACGUGGGUAACCUACCUAUAAGACUGGAAUAACUCCGGGAAACCGGGGCUAAUGCCGGAUAACAUUUAGAACCGCAUGGUUCUAAAGUGAAAGAUGGUUUUGCUAUCACUUAUAGAUGGACCCGCGCCGUAUUAGCUAGUUGGUAAGGUAACGGCUUACCAAGGCAACGAUACGUAGCCGACCUGAGAGGGUGAUCGGCCACACUGGAACUGAGACACGGUCCAGACUCCUACGGGAGGCAGCAGUAGGGAAUCUUCCGCAACGGGCGAAAGCCUGACGGAGCAACGCCGCGUGAGUGAUGAAGGUCUUCGGAUCGUAAAACUCUGUUAUUAGGGAAGAACAAAUGUGUAAGUAACUGUGCACGUCUUGACGGUACCUAAUCAGAAAGCCACGGCUAACUACGUG
rnacentral:rRNA from 1 species